AUUAUACUCCCUCCGUCCAAAAAUACUUGUCAUCAAAAUGGACAAAAAGGGAUGUAUCUAAAACUAAAAUACAUCUAGAUACAUCCCUUUUAUCCAUUUUGAUGACAAGUAUUUUCGGAUGGAGGGAGUAUAUA
rnacentral:pre_miRNA from 1 species